rnacentral:rRNA from 1 species
GAUGAACGCUAGCGGGAGGCCUAACACAUGCAAGCCGAGCGGUAGAAUCUUUUCGGAGAUUUGAGAGCGGCGUACGGGUGAGGAACACGUGUGCAACCUGCCUUUAUCUGGGAGAUAGCUUUUCGAAAGGAAGAUUAAUAUCCCAUAAUAUAUUGAGUGGCAUCACUUAAUAUUGAAAGCUCCGGCGGAUAGAGAUGGGCACGCGCAAGAUUAGACAGUUGGUGAGGUAACGGCUCACCAAGUCUACGAUCUUUAGGGGGCCUGAGAGGGUGAACCCCCACACUGGUACUGAGACACGGAACAGACUCCUACGGGAGGCAGCAGUGAGGAAUAUUGGACAAUGGGUGCAAGACUGUUCCAGCCAUCCCGCGUGAAGGAUUAAGGUCCUAUGGAUUGUAAACUUCUUUUAUACAGGGAUAAACCUCUCCUCGUGAGGAGAGCUGAAGGUGCUGUAUGAAUAAGCACCGGCUAACUCCGUGCCAGCCGCCGCCGUAA